AUUGAACGCUGGCGGAAUGCUUUACACAUGCAAGUCGAACGGCAGCACGGGGCAACCUGGUGGCGAGUGGCGAACGGGUGAGUAAUACAUCGGAACGUGCCCAAUCGUGGGGGAUAACGUAGCGAAAGUUACGCUAAUACCGCAUACGAUCUACGGAUGAAAGCGGGGGAUCGCAAGACCUCGCGCGAAUGGAGCGGCCGAUGUCGGAUUAGCUAGUUGGCGGGGUAAAGGCCCACCAAGGCAACGAUCCGUAGCGGGUCUGAGAGGAUGAUCCGCCACACUGGGACUGAGACACGGCCCAGACUCCUACGGGAGGCAGCAGUGGGGAAUUUUGGACAAUGGGCGCAAGCCUGAUCCAGCCAUGCCGCGUGAGUG
rnacentral:rRNA from 1 species